AAAAUAAGGGUAAGCAAUUAAGACAAGAGUGAAAGAAAAGGACUAGUGUCUUGUGUUCUUUUUGUCUAUGGGGCUGAAAUAAAAGCAUAAUUGUCUAUAGAAAUUUGUAUAUUCUUUUAAAGAGGGGCUUAAAAGGGUUACAGUUGUUGCUACAGUUUGCAGUGAAAAUGACAUUCACAUGGUGCAAAUUAAAUUUCUUAAAUGGGAGCUUGUUGAUAUUUCAAUAAGUACUGGUUGUUUUAGACUAUAAGUUGGAGGCUCAUAUUUGGAGAUGUUGAAGAAGGAAAAGCUAAGUUCUUUUUAAAGCUAUUCUUGUUAAUUAGAAACUGGUCCAACCCCAACCCUUCCCCAGAAACUACCGUCCGACCUUCUCUAUAACAUAUCCUUAUAUAACAACACUUCAAAAUAAAAAUCAUGUUUUUUCGGAACCAAAUUUCAUGUUCUGUUGUAAUAUAUGUUUUCUAUAACAACAAUUCGCUACAAACAUCCAAAAAAAUCAGCUGGAACAAACAAGAAUCUUAUAGAGAAGUUUGACUGUAUAGUAAUUUUAAGCUCCAUAAAUUGAUAAGUUAGGUUGAUUCAUUAUAAAAAUGUAUGAAUAAUGCCAACACAAGUAAUCCCUGAUGUCACCGCUAGCGAAGGGUGGUCAUGCUCAAAUAUUAU
rnacentral:lncRNA from 1 species